rnacentral:rRNA from 1 species
UACAGGGGGUGCAAACGUUGCUCGGAAUUAUUGGGCGUAAAGCGCGCGUAGGCGGCUUUGCAAGUCAGAGGUGAAAGCCUGGAGCUCAACCCCAGAACUGCCUUUGAAACUGCAUCGCUAGAAUCAUGGAGAGGUUAGUGGAAUUCCGAGUGUAGAGGUGAAAUUCGUAGAUAUUCGGAAGAACACCAGUGGCGAAGGCGACUAACUGGACAUGUAUUGACGCUGAGGUGCGAAAGCGUGGGGAGCGAUCCGG